GACGAAGGGGGCUAGCGUUGUUCGGAAUUACUGGGCGUAAAGCGAGUGUAGGCGGUUGUCCCAGUCAGGCGUGAAAGCCUUGAGCUCAACUCAAGAAAUGCGCUUGAUACUGGAUGACUAGAGGACCGGAGAGGAUAGUGGAAUUCCCAGUGUAGUGGUGAAAUACGUAGAGAUUGGGAAGAACACCAGUGGCGAAGGCGGACUAUCGUGGACGGUUACUGACGCUAAGACUCGAAAGCGUGGGAGCAAACAGGAUUAGAAACCGU
rnacentral:rRNA from 1 species